CGGGACACGUGGUAUCCUGUCUGAAUAUGGGGGGACCAUCCUCCAAGGCUAAAUACUCCUGACUGACCGAUAGUGAACCAGUACCGUGAGGGAAAGGCGAAAAGAACCCCGGCGAGGGGAGUGAAAAAGAACCUGAAACCGUGUACGUACAAGCAGUGGGAGCACGCUUAGGCGUGUGACUGCGUACCUUUUGUAUAAUGGGUCAGCGACUUAUAUUCUGUAGCAAGGUUAACCGAAUAGGGGAGCCGAAGGGAAACCGAGUCUUAACUGGGCGUUAAGUUGCAGGGUAUAGACCCGAAACCCGGUGAUCUAGCCAUGGGCAGGUUGAAGGUUGGGUAACACUAACUGGAGGACCGAACCGACUAAUGUUGAAAAAUUAGCGGAUGACUUGUGGCUGGGGGUGAAAGGCCAAUCAAACCGGGAGAUAGCUGGUUCUCCCCGAAAGCUAUUUAGGUAGCGCCUCGUGAAUUCAUCUCCGGGGGUAGAGCACUGUUUCGGCAAGGGGGUCAUCCCGACUUACCAACCCGAUGCAAACUGCGAAUACCGGAGAAUGUUAUCACGGGAGACACACGGCGGGUGCUAACGUCCGUCGUGAAGAGGGAAACAACCCAGACCGCCAGCUAAGGUCCCAAAGUCAUGGUUAAGUGGGAAACGAUGUGGGAAGGCCCAGACAGCCAGGAUGUUGGCUUAGAAGCAGCCAUCAUUUAAAGAAAGCGUAAUAGCUCACUGGUCGAGUCGGCCUGCGCGGAAGAUGUAACGGGGCUAAACCAUGCACCGAAGCUGCGGCAGCGACGCUGAUGCGUUGUUGGGUAGGGGAGCGUUCUGUAAGCCUGCGAAGGUGUGCUGUGAGGCAUGCUGGAGGUAUCAGAAGUGCGAAUGCUGACAUAAGUAACGAUAAAGCGGGUGAAAAGCCCGCUCGCCGGAAGACCAAGGGUUCCUGUCCAACGUUAAUCGGGGCAGGGUGAGUCGACCCCUAAGGCGAGGCCGAAAGGCGUAGUCGAUGGGAAACAGGUUAAUAUUCCUGUACUUGGUGUUACUGCGAAGGGG
rnacentral:rRNA from 1 species